CCCACAGUUCAAUACUCUCAUGAUGAGAAACUCUCAAGCCCUCAUCCAUCAUUCUCCUCUUCUUUCUAAUUCGAAGUCAGUAGGUCUAUGAGCUAUCAAGGCUGAGGUGACAGUCAGGACUGAGGUGGAGAAGACUAAAGACGAGAUAAAAGACCAAGAUAUGAAAAUCGAGGCAGAGCUCUCAAAUGUCAAGCUCCUAGAGCUAAUCUUAGAAGGCCA
rnacentral:lncRNA from 1 species